rnacentral:lncRNA from 1 species
UGCUUCUCCCAGAGAUGAGAUUUCUUGACUAUGAUUAAAAGAAAAAAAUCUAACCUUAAAGGUUGUAAUUUUGGCUUCAGUCACAGGACUUCAGAGAUGACUUUAUUAGGAUUAUAGAAUCUUUGAUAGGAAGAAGGAAUUGGCUAAAGGUAAUACUGUUCAUGCUGCUGCUUGCAAGAACUGCAACAAAUUACAAUCAUUACAAGGAAGGAGAUUUCUAUGAACUUUCUAUCCAAUGUAAAUAUCACAGUUGCCGACUUUCAAAUCUUAAAGGCUUUCCCUUUCCUAGGAUUGGUUUUCUCCACCUGUCUUUGAUUUUCCCGUAGGGAAAAAGGCUCUGGCUGGGUGGUUGCGGCUCUCUUCCACCCUCCCUGAAGACCUUGCAGGGCUCCUGGGCCCUGUUAAUGGGCCUCAAGCUGGACUUUUAAAAACUUAAGAUGAGGACCUUCUGCCUGGCCCAGCCUAUGUCCUGACCCAGUGUUCCACCCCGGCUCCUCUCUGCAGAAGGAGCAAGCACCUGUCCAAGUCCCUAGGGGAGCCUGCAGCCAUGAAGUACAGGUGGCCUCCCCACACCGAGGCCCUUCACCUGCUGUGUGUCUGUUUCAGGCACAUGCC